rnacentral:rRNA from 1 species
AUUGAACGCUGGCGGCAGGCCUAACACAUGCAAGUCGGGCGAGCGGCGGACGGGUGAGUCAGGUAUGGGGACUGACUGAUGGAGGGUGCUAAUUACAGGAAACGGUAGCUAAUACCGCAUACCAUCAAAUAACCCAUAUGGGAUUAGCUUGUAGGUGAGGUAACGUCUUACCUAGGCGAAGGUCCCUAGUUGGUCAUGGAGAGUGAUCAGGCAGGCUGGGGAUGAUACACGGCCCAAACUGCUAUGGAGACAGCAGUGGGGAAUAUUGGACAAAGGGCGCAAGCCUGAUGCACACAGGCCGCGGGUAUGAAGAAGGCCUUCGGGUUGUAAAGUGCUGGCAGUCGGGAUGCGUUACCGGCAGAAGAAGCACCGGCUAACUCCGUGCCAGCAGCCGCGGUAAUUC